rnacentral:rRNA from 1 species
CACGUAGGGUGCGAGCGUUGUCCGGAAUUAUUGGGCGUAAAGAGCUCGUAGGCGGUUUGUCGCGUCGAAUGUGAAAACCCGGGGCUCAACCCCGGGCCUGCAUUCGAUACGGGCAGACUAGAGUUCGGUAGGGGAGUCUGGAAUUCCUGGUGUAGCGGUGAAAUGCGCAGAUAUCAGGAGGAACACCGGUGGCGAAGGCGGUUCUCUGGGCAUUACCCGACGCUGAGGAGCGAAAGUGUGGGGAGCGAACAGG